GCCUGGCAGGCUCAGUCAGUAGAGCGUAUGACUCUUGAUCUCAGGGUCAUGAGUUCAAGCCCCAUGUUGGGCA
rnacentral:tRNA from 1 species